rnacentral:rRNA from 1 species
CCUACGGGUGGCUGCAGUGAGGAAUAUUGGUCAAUGGGCGCUAGCCUGAACCAGCCAAGUAGCGUGAAGGAUGACUGCCCUAUGGGUUGUAAACUUCUUUUAUAUGGGAAUAAAGUGCAGUAUGUAUACUGCUUUGCAUGUACCUUAUGAAUAAGGAUCGGCUAACUCCGUGCCAGCAGCCGCGGUAAUACGGAGGAUGCGAGCGUUAUCCGGAUUUAUUGGGUUUAAAGGGUGCGUAGGCGGAAUAUCAAGUCAGCGGUAAAAAUUCGGGGCUCAACCCCGUCGUGCCGUUGAAACUGAUGUUCUUGAGUGGGCGAGAAGUAUGCGGAAUGCGUGGUGUAGCGGUGAAAUGCAUAGAUAUCACGCAGAACUCCGAUUGCGAAGGCAGCAUACCGGCGCCCAACUGACGCUGAAGCACGAAAGCGUGGGUAUCGAACAGGAUUAGAUACCCGUGUAGUC